rnacentral:rRNA from 1 species
UACCCGUACAAGAAGCCCCGGCUAACUUCGUGCCAGCAGCCGCGGUAAUACGAAGGGGGCUAGCGUUGCUCGGAAUUACUGGGCGUAAAGCACGCGUAGGCGGAUCGUUAAGUUAGGGGUGAAAUCCUGAGGCUCAACCUCAGAAUUGCCUUUAAUACUGGCGGUCUGGAGACCGGAAGAGGUAAGUGGAAUUGUGAGUGUAGAGGUGAAAUUCGUAGAUAUUCACAGGAACACCAGUGGCGAAGGCGGCUUACUGGUCCGGAUCUGACGCUGAGGCGUGAAAGCGUGGGGAGCAAACAGGAUUAGAUACCCUGGUAGUCCACGCCGUAAACUAUGGAUGCUAGCCGUUGGCAAGCUUGCUUGUCAGUGGCGCAGUUAACACAUUAAGCAUCCCGCCUGGGGAGUACGGUCGCAAGAUUAAAACU